UCGAUUUGCUGCGGGCAGAUAAAGUGAAUGUGGGCGUCGAUACCCCCUGCUGUCAGGAUCUGUCCUUCGCCGGCAAUCGCCUCUGUUGACGGGCCGAUGAUGAUGUCGACAUCCGGCUGUACGUCAGGGUUGCCUGCUUUACCAAUCCCGGCGAUGCGACCUGAUUUCAAACCGACGUCGGCUUUGAUAAUCCCCCAGUGAUCCACAAUCAGCGCGUUUGUGAUGACGGUGUCCACCGUUUCUGCAGAGGGGCGCUGGCUCUGCCCCAUCCCGUCGCG
rnacentral:sRNA from 1 species